CACGAAUCUAGCGCUGCCUGCCUCCGCUCCGACAUCGAACCAAUGAACGACCUUAGGACCAAGAGGACGAGAACCUCUGUACAGGUCAGGGGGCGAGUGCCGCCGCCUCAGAUGCAGGCUGGGAGGUCUUGGGUCCCAGCAGCCUCUUCAGCCAGUUGGACGAGCGGGAGCUGGAGCUGAGUCCGAGCUGCGCAGCAGGGUCUCCCAGUGGCUCUGUCCUCGUGUAAGCACCGGCCGAAGCACGCCGAGCAGACUUUCCUCCCGCCUCAAGCCUCGCAGCAAAGAGUCGAGCUAUCUCCGCAAAAUCAGUGUGCGUGUAUGUGGAAAACUUUAUUGAAGAUAAAAAAAUAACGGAAAAGAAAAGGCUGCCUGAGUGUGGGGGCCUCGGUCCCGAGCUCCACUGGCGCGGGCUGCUACCCGGGCCCGAUCUAGGGGAGCUGUUCGCCCCUGCAGAUCGGCGGCUUCGCCCAAAGCAGCGCAAGGCGCGUACUGUAUACACGUGACAGUGGGCGUGGAACAACCAACGGCGGCGAGGCAAACGUCAAGCCA
rnacentral:lncRNA from 1 species